rnacentral:rRNA from 1 species
CCUACGGGGGGCAGCAGUGGGGAAUAUUGCACAAUGGGGGAAACCCUGAUGCAGCGACGCCGCGUGAGUGAAGAAGUAUUUCGGUAUGUAAAGCUCUAUCAGCAGGGAAGAAGCAAGACGGUACCUGACUCAGAAGCCCCGGCUAACUACGUGCCAGCAGCCGCGGUAAUACGUAGGGGGCAAGCGUUAUCCGGAUUUACUGGGUGUAAAGGGAGCGUAUACGGUGAGGCAAGUCUGAAGUGAAAGGCCAGGGCUUAACCCUUGGACUGCUUUGGAAACUGUUAGACUAGAGUGCUGGAGAGGUAAGUGGAAGUCCUAGUGUAGCGGUGAAAUGCGUAGAUAUUAGGAGGAACACCAGUGGCGAAGGCGGCUUACUGGACAGUAACUGACGUUGAGGCUCGAAAGCGUGGGGAGCAAACAGGAUUAGAUACCCGUGUAGUC